rnacentral:rRNA from 1 species
AGAGUUUGAUCAUGGCUCAGAUUGAACGCUGGCGGCAGGCCUAACACAUGCAAGUCGAGCGGUAACAGGGGUAGCUUGCUACCCGCUGACGAGCGGCGGACGGGUGAGUAACGCGUGAGAAUCUGCCCAUUAGUGGGGGAUAACCCGGGGAAACUCGGGCUAAUACCGCAUACGUCCUACGGGACAAAGCAGGGGACCUUUUGGCCUUGCGCUGAUGGAUGAGCUCGCGUCGGAUUAGCUUGUUGGUGAGGUAAAGGCUCACCAAGGCGACGAUCCGUAGCUGGUCUGAGAGGAUGAUCAGCCACACCGGGACUGAGACACGGCCCGGACUCCUACGGGAGGCAGCAGUGGGGAAUCUUGGACAAUGGGGGCAACCCUGAUCCAGCCAUGCCGCGUGUGUGAAGAAGGCCUUCGGGUUGUAAAGCACUUUCAGUAGGGAGGAAGGCUUUCGGUUAAUACCCGGGAGUACUUGACGUUACCUACAGAAGAAGCACCGGCUAAUUUCGUGCCAGCAGCCGCGGUAAU